CACAAUGGGGGAAACCCUGAUGCAGCCAUGCCGCGUGUGUGAAGAAGGACCUUCGGGUUGUAAAGCACUUUCAGUAGGGAGGAAGGUAGUGUAGUUAACACCUGCAUUAUUUGACGUUACCUACAGAAGAAGCACCGGCUAACUCCGUGCCAGCAGCCGCGGUAAUACGGAGGGUGCGAGCGUUAAUCGGAAUUACUGGGCGUAAAGCGCAUGCAGGCGGCCUGUUAAGUCAGAUGUGAAAGCCCGGGGCUUAACCUCGGAAUUGCAUUUGAAACUGGCAGGCUAGAGUCUUGUAGAGGGGGUAGAAUUUCAGGUGUAGCGGUGAAAUGCGUAGAGAUCUGAAGGAAUACCAGUGGCGAAGGCCGGCCCCCUGGACAAAGACUGACGCUCAGAUGCGAAAGCGUGGGGAGCAAACAGGAUUAGAUACCCUGGUAG
rnacentral:rRNA from 1 species